UCUAAGGGUUUCUGUCGUGAGAGGCACAUGCAGGGAAAUUCGAUUGCUCUGCAUGCAGAAUCGACAUCAAAAGAUUUUGGAAGCAUAAUUUUUUGGUAUCUGGGUAGCUGGUGAUCAUUGGCCCCAGCACCUGU